rnacentral:rRNA from 1 species
GAGUUUGAUCCUGGCUCAGGAUGAACGCUGGCGGCGUGCUUAACACAUGCAAGUCGAACGGACUCAUAUUGAAACCUAGUGAUGUAUGAGUUAGUGGCGGACGGGUGAGUAACGCGUGGAGAACCUGCCGUAUACUGGGGGAUAACACUUAGAAAUAGGUGCUAAUACCGCAUAAGCGCACGGCUUCGCAUGAAGCAGUGUGAAAAACUCCGGUGGUAUACGAUGGAUCCGCGUCUGAUUAGCUGGUUGGCGGGGUAAAGGCCCACCAAGGCGACGAUCAGUAGCCGGCCUGAGAGGGUGAACGGCCACAUUGGGACUGAGACACGGCCCAAACUCCUACGGGAGGCAGCAGUGGGGAAUAUUGCACAAUGGGGGAAACCCUGAUGCAGCGACGCCGCGUGAGUGAAGAAGUAUUUCGGUAUGUAAAGCUCUAUCAGCAGGGAAGAAAAUGACGGUACCUGACUAAGAAGCCCCGGCUAACUACGUGCCAGCAGCCGCGGUAAUACGUAGGGGGCAAGCGUUAUCCGGAUUUACUGGGUGUAAAGGGAGCGUAGACGGCAGCGCAAGUCUGGAGUGAAAUCCCAUGGCUUAACCAUGGAACUGCUUUGGAAACUGUGCAGCUAGAGUGCAGGAGAGGUAAGCGGAAUUCCUAGUGUAGCGGUGAAAUGCGUAGAUAUUAGGAGGAACACCAGUGGCGAAGGCGGCUUACUGGACUGUAACUGACGUUGAGGCUCGAAAGCGUGGGGAGCAAACAGGAUUAGAUACCCUGGUAGUCCACGCUGUAAACGAUGAUUACUAGGUGUUGGGGGACCAAGGUCCUUCGGUGCCGGCGCAAACGCAUUAAGUAAUCCACCUGGGGAGUACGUUCGCAAGAAUGAAACUCAAAGGAAUUGACGG